rnacentral:misc_RNA from 1 species
AACGCAUAUUGCACUCUCUGGUAUUCCGGGGAGUAUGCCUGUUUGAGGGUCAGUAAAAAUAAAAAAUUUAUCAUGAAUCCUUUUUUUAAUUUAUUUUAUUAAAUCGGAACAUGGAAUUGGAUCUUUCAAAAAUUUCAUUAUUUUUGAUGAUCUUAAAUUUAUGUAUAUGGCUAUAUAUAAACUGAACCAAAAAGAGCAAUUAUUUAUAAUUAAUCUCAUUUAGUGAUGUUUUAUUAAGCCAAAUAUGAUUUAUUUUGAUAUUUAAUUAUCAAAAUAAUCAUAAACAUAUUUUAAAAAUGACCUCAAAUCAGGUAAGAGUACCCGCUGAACUUAA